AAGAUAGGGGCGGAGUCUGAAUGAGUCGAUAGAUUCGGACCCAAGACUCGGAAGGAACUACGAAGUAGCUGAGGUGGGAAGAAUGCCUGCCGGUUUAGUGCAGCUCCGGCAUUGGAUGGGCAAGGAUACGAUCUGCGGAGCAUGUUGGUCGUGGAGCGCGCUCGUGGCCGUGGGAUGGGCUCAACGCAGUGAAGUCCACUAGUGGUGAAGACGCUGGAAGGUCACGACGCUGGAAGGAGUUUUGUGACCUGCGUGUAAUAAUUACCACCUUGACGAAUCAUUAGUGUUGAGCUUGGUCAUUCAACUUGCUGCCAUUCGGAAUGUGGCUUUCAACAUUGUGUUGGACCCCUUCAGUUCUUGAGGCCUUUAUUGCGAAGGUCUCAGAGGUGGAGGUUAGUUUUGUGAGAGCAUCUCAGGCCUGCAAGCCAAGUUCUGUGAGAGGAUCUCGGUACCUGAUGGAGGGUUGUGUCCCAUCAUGACCUUACCUAGUAAGGCAAUGGAGGAGCUCGAUGGCUUUUUGCAGCUUCCCUUAUUUAAUUGUUCUCUGCAUGAUGAAUUUGUCGUGUAUUUGCCAGAUAAAGGGAGGUACAGAGAGAGGUGGCCAGCAUACAUACUCGUACAUAUGCAGGAGACAGCUUUGUGAACUAGCAGUGACAACAAUGUUACAGAAGUAUCUUUGAUUACAGGUGCAUACUAGGAGGAGGAAUGACUGGUGAGAGAAAUAAAAAUUAUAUUCCACA